UAAGUCUCAUUAAUUUCAUAUGCUUCGUUAUGUGUCCUGAAAUCAAUACAAAGCCUCACUGUGACUCAGUGUUUGCUGAGGUCCGCUUCGCGUAGGAAGCUGCCGGUGGACAGAGCUCUUCCCGCACGGCGGUGGCCUACGGCAGCAUAAGGCCCGUUGCGUGGAAUCCUGCCGUGGCCAGGUUUCUGUCUGUCACAGGUGACUGAUUGGUCUGCUCAGCAGCUGCUCUGGUGUGGCCCCGGUUCCUUCCUGCCCCGAGCUCUCUACGCCAGGGAUGCGUCCUGGAAAUGGGUGUGUCAGCCUACAGUGAUGGGCACUGGGGACCCAUGAGAAAUUGUGCUCGCUCCCAGGCAGGCAGAGUCCUGUCAGGACAGGACUCCUCCAGGGACCACUUUCCAUCCCUGCUGUGGCAAGUGGUCUGAAUUUCCAGCUAGACAUGUUGGAGGAAGUCCUGUCCCCCAUUUGCUGUGCUGUUUAACUGCUCCGACAGCGUCAUGAUGACUGUCGGUCCCUCUGUCCACCCGGUGGUCAUCAUGGGUACCGCUGUCAAGCUGACUCUGGGUGGUUUGUUCUAGAAAGUGGGGGCCUCAGCUGGUGUGUGGCUUGUUUGGAGUUUGUUGGUCUGUACACUCUACUGUUCUCUUGCUCCUCAUGGUUGAGUUGACUGGUGUUAAAUGCAUGUUUUGAGAUGUGAUUUCGUAGUUUUGGUCCUUCAAUUUUUUCUGAUCCUGGGUGUUAACAUGUUUGUUUAAAAAUAGCUCAGUUCCACUACCACUUUUUCCUUUAUGCUGUCAAAUACUCUGCCUAAAAAUCAGAGAGAGAAUGAGAAUUAUCAUGGUCUAAUAACAAGACAGGCUAGGAGUUAGGAAAGAGCCAGUCAGUUAGGCUGGGGUGCUGAGAAGCUGGCUGGCCCCGGCAGUCUGCAGCUCGUCAGUACCCAGGGACUGAAACCGCCUUGCAGGCUUAGGAACCUGGUUUUUUUAAUGAACCUGAAUGCUGGUUUGUCUCAGGAGAAGAUUCUCAGGAGCCAGACUCUCCAGGGACGGCCGUGCCAUUCCAGAGUGACUUAAGGUGCAGCCGACGUGCGGCGGCCACGGUCCUGCCCUAGACCCCUUGUUUCGCCACGGCCGGCUCCUUCGUGCCCCCUGAACACCGGCAGGGCUGCUACUUGCUUCACUGGACUCCACUCGGCGAGAGAGGCUCAUGACACGUGCACUUCUGCCCCUGGGACCCCGCUCUGGUCUCUAGUUUGCUUCCAUUCUUCCUUAGCUGUGGGGACCAGAUCUCCGCUCCCUCAGCAGCGUGGAGCCCUUUGUCUCGUGACGGCGACUUCACCUGGACCGUGCAGUCGGACAGCGAACUUAAAAGGGCAGCCUCAGUAGCAAACGUUCACGCGCAGGUGGCUGUUGCAGACCAUGUAGAGCAGAGGUUCUUAAAUCUCGUUUUUGCAGCAAGCGCUUUAUAAUACCCUUUAAUUUAUAUGUGAAAUUCCUUCAUAUGUCAGAGAGUAUCCCUUUAUUAUAUGUGAGAGAAUGUUCCAUAAUUUAAAACCUGAAUGUACAUGUUAUGUAUAAAUUUCCCAAACUGGAAUGUAAAGGAGAAACAAAAGAAAAUAAAUAAUGUGUGUUUCA